UUAGUGGCAGACGGGUGAGUAAUGCAUAGGAAUCUACCUAGUAGUAUGGGAUAGCCACUAGAAAUGGUGGGUAAUACUGUAUAAUCCCUGCGGGGGAAAGAUUUAUCGCUAUUAGAUGAGCCUAUGUUAGAUUAGCUAGUUGGUAGGGUAAAGGCCUACCAAGGCGGUGAUCUAUAGCUGGUCUGAGAGGAUGAUCAGCCACACUGGAACUGAGAUACGGUCCAGACUCCUACGGGAGGCAGCAGUGGGGAAUAUUGGACAAUGGGCGCAAGCCUGAUCCAGCUAUGCCGCGUGAGUGAGGAAGGCCUUAGGGUUGUAAAACUC
rnacentral:rRNA from 1 species